UGCAGUCUAGUUUUACAGGUUACAGAUCCUAUUUGAUGCUGAUUAUAAUACAGGACUCGGUCACCUCAGCGUCCCGCGGUUCUCCCUGCGGAAGAGUAAUCCUGUUAGGAGCGUCGAGCAGUCAGGCGUACGGGAAUGUGCCGUGACGAGGAGAGAUCAGGAGUGGAAGUCCUGACCGAGUUAGCACGCUGACCUUUGACCCCCCCAAGGAAACUUGAUUUAAAUAUGCGGUGAAGUCGGAAGCCGAAACAAGCUCGUGAAAAAUCUCGCUCAACUCGAAUCGAAAAGUUCAACGUCCCCGAAAAAGCGGCGCGGCUGUCCCGGACACGUGAAUACUGCAUUCUGAUGAAAGACCUCAUUUAGCAGGCAAGACCUUUGCAGUUUCCUGUUGAUAGUGGAUCACAGCUGGAGGUCAAAGGUCAUCUGUAUGUGUGUGUAUCUGUGUCGCCUAACACUCUGACAAAGUGUCUUUCGUUUUUCAUUCUGUCCAACGUCCCUGAUUGUACUAUAAACAGACCUUUUUACUGGAGAGCUGAAGAGAGGGAUAUUUACCGAUCGUGAAACCGUACGAUAUUUUCAUCCUUUCGAUAAAAGGGUUAUGUUUUUCCUAGCGUGUCGCAUCCCAGCAACAUAAAUAAAAAAAUAAGGGUUACACUUUGACAGUUCACUUUAGACUUUCUACUAACUAACUUUGUAACUUCAUGUCAACUAAUUCUCAUUAACACGUGUCUACUAGCUCUCGGAGUAGACUGUUAGGGUAGCUUUGGGGUUUUUUUGGAAUAAGCUGACAUAUACUUGCAAAGUUUCUCAUAAUAAAGUGUUAGAAGAUACUUGAAAGUCUACUAAUAAUCUAAUGGCUGCUAGUCGACAUGCAUUUGCAAAAUGACUUACUGUUAGUAGAAUU